CCUACGGGUGGCAGCAGUGAGGAAUAUUGGUCAAUGGGCGCGAGCCUGACCCAGCCAAGUCGCGUGAAGGAUGACUGCCCUACGGGUUGUAACCUUCUUUUAUGAAGGAAUGAAGUGAAGCACGUGUGCCUUUUUGUAUGUACUUUAUGAAUAAGGAUCGGCUACAUCCGUGCCAGGAGCCGCGGUAAUACGGAGGAUCCGAGCGUUAUCCGGAUUUAUUGGGUUUACAGGGAGCGUAGAUGGGUGUGUAAGUCAGUUGUUAAAGUUUGCGGCUUAACCCUAAAAAUGCAAUUGAGUCUGGCAAUCUUGAGUACAGUUGAGGUAGGCGGAAUUCGUGGUGUAGCGGUGAAAUGCGUAGAUAUCACGAAGAACUCCGAUUGCGAAGGCAGCUUACUAAACGGCCACUGACAUUGAUGCGCGAAAGUGUGGGUAUCAAACAGGAUUAGAUACCCCGGUAGUC
rnacentral:rRNA from 1 species